rnacentral:tRNA from 1 species
AGGCGUAGUUCAGUGGUAGAAUACCAGCUUCCCAAGCUGGAUAUGCGGGUCCGAUUCCCGUCGCCUG